GGAAAAUUGCUGCCACUUCUUGAGUUCUUGCACCUGGUUCAAAGCCAUCUGAGUGUGGCAACCUGUGCCACAUGGUCAGAUGGGAAGUGUGCACUGGGCAG
rnacentral:lncRNA from 1 species